rnacentral:misc_RNA from 1 species
CAGCGUCAGAUGUUUAUAAGAGACAGGUGAAUCAUCGAAUCUUUGAACGCACAUUGCGCCCCUUGGUAUUCCGGGGGGCAUGCCUGUUCGAGCGUCAUUAUAACCCUCAAGCCUAGCUUGGUGUUGGAGCAUGCUACCUAGCAGCUCUUAAAAUCAGUGGCAGUGCCCUUCGGCUCUAAGCGUAGUAACUUCUCUCGCUAUGGAAACCGGGUGGUAUGCGCCAAAACCCCCAACUUUCUAAGGUUGACCUCGGAUCAGGUAGGGAUACCCGCUGAACUUAAGCAUAUCAAUAAGCGGAGG